UGCGGGUUAACGUAGCGGCAAACGUGCCAGUCUCAUAAUCUGGAAAGCAUCGGUUCGAGUCCGAUACCCGCGA
rnacentral:tRNA from 1 species